AUUGAACGCUGGCGGCAGGCCUAACACAUGCAAGUCGAACGGCAGCGCGGGAGCAAUCCUGGCGGCGAGUGGCGAACGGGUGAGUAAUGCAUCGGAACGUGCCCAGUAGUGGGGGAUAGCCCGGCGAAAGCCGGAUUAAUACCGCAUACGACCUACGGGUGAAAGGGGGGGAUCGCAAGACCUCUCGCUAUUGGAGCGGCCGAUAGCAGAUUAGGUAGUUGGUGGGGUAAAGGCCUACCAAGCCUGCGAUCUGUAGUUGGUCUGAGAGGACGGCCGGCCACACUGGGACUGAGACACGGCCCAGACUCCGACGGGAGGCAGCGGUGGUGAAUGUUGGACAAUGGGCGCAGGCCGGAUCCAGCAAUGCCGCGUGCAGGAAGAAGGCCUUCGGGUUGUAAACUGCUUUUGUCAGCGAAGAAAACCUCUGGGCUAAUAUCCUGGGGGGAUGACGGUACCUGAAGAAUAAGCACCGGCUAACUACGUGCCAGCCGCCGCCGUAAAAC
rnacentral:rRNA from 1 species